rnacentral:rRNA from 1 species
UACUGAGGGUGCAAGCGUUAUCCGGAUUCACUGGGUUUAAAGGGUGCGUAGGUGGGUAGGUAAGUCAGUGGUGAAAUCCCCGAGCUUAACUUGGGAACUGCCGUUGAUACUAUCUAUCUUGAAUAUCGAGUAGGUAAGCGGAAUAUGUCAUGUAGCGGUGAAAUGCUUAGAUAUGACAUAGAACACCAAUUGCGAAGGCAGCUUACUUCAAGAUUAUUGACACUGAGGCACGAAAGCGUGGGGAUCAAACAGG